GCAUUGGUGGUUCAGUGGUAGAAUUCUCUCCUGCCACGCUGGAGACCCGGGUCCGAUUCUCAGCCAAUGCA
rnacentral:tRNA from 1 species